GUGCCAGCAGCCGCGGUAAUACCGGCAGUCCGAGUGAUGGCCGAUCUUAUUGGGCCUAAAGCGUCCGUAGCUGGCCACGCAAGUCCAUCGGGAAAUCCACCUGCCCAACAGGUGGGCGCCCGGUAGAAACUGCGUGGCUUGGGACCGGAAGGCGCGACGGGUACGUCCGGGGUAGGAGUGAAAUCCCGUAAUCCUGGACGGACCGCCGGUGGCGAAAGCGCCUCAGGAGAACGGAUCCGACAGUGAGGGACGAAAGCUAGGGUCUCGAACCGGAUUAGAAACCCUUGUAGUCC
rnacentral:rRNA from 1 species